rnacentral:rRNA from 1 species
AGCCUAACACAUGCAAGUCGAACGAGAAACCAGAGCUUGCUCUGGCGGAAAGUGGCAGACGGGUGAGUAACGCGUGGGAAUUUACCCAGUGGUACGGAAUAACUCAGGGAAACUUGUGCUAAUACCGUAUACGCCCUUCGGGGGAAAGAUUUAUCGCCAUUGGAUGAGCCCGCGUUAGAUUAGUUUGUUGGUGGGGUAAUGGCCUACCAAGACUACGAUCUAUAGCUGGUCUGAGAGGAUGAUCAGCCACACUGGGACUGAGACACGGCCCAGACUCCUACGGGAGGCAGCAGUGGGGAAUAUUGCACAAUGGGCGCAAGCCUGAUGCAGCCAUGCCGCGUGAGUGAAGAAGGCCUUAGGGUUGUAAAACUCUUUCACCGGUGAAGAUAAUGACGGUAGCCGGAGAAGAAGCCCCGGCUAACUCCGUGCCAGCAGCCGCGGUAAUACGGAGGGGGCUAGCGUUGUUCGGAAUUACUGGGCGUAAAGCGCGCGUAGGCGGAUUGGUCAGUUGGGGGUGAAAUCCCGAGGCUUAACCUCGGAACUGCCCUCAAUACUGCCAGUCUAGAGUUCGGAAGAGGUAAGUGGAAUUCCUAGUGUAGAGGUGAAAUUCGUAGAUAUUAGGAAGAACACCAGUGGCGAAGGCGGCUUAC